rnacentral:lncRNA from 1 species
AGUAACCUUAGGAAAGAAUCGCCAGUGAGUACAGUAAGAAUAAAGAAUAAAGCAUAAAGAAAAGAAUAAAGAAAAUAGCUAAUGAAUGAAACUAGCUAAGAAAGAAUAAAACGGCUACAAGUAAAGAAUGGCUAAUGAUAUAAAGUAGAAUCAAGUAAUCUACUUACAUGAUUUACAGGUAUUGCAUAUUGCAUAGCAGCGAGGCAAGGUAUGGUUUUAUUUGUUGCAUAGUCAAAUAUCUAUCUAUCUAUUUGUUGAACUAACCUACUGUUGCCUCCUUUGGACCUGGUGGGUCGAGCUCUUCUCUUGGGUGGCCGUACCCACUGGGAACUAUAUUUAUAUAGUUCUCACCCCCGUGUUGUUUUGGGGGUACAGGUUGCACGCGAGCGGCGCGGCGGCGCGAGGACAGGGCGUAGCUUCGUAGAUAGCGCCCCACCACUGAGACUGAGAUAGCAACACCCUGAAGAGGUCAAGUUCAGAGUUCAAAUGGAAAGAAACAAAAUUGUAGUAAUUUGUAUAAGUUUCGUAUUAACUUAAAAGCAUAUGUGGUUAUGUAAAUGUAAAAUAUUGUAAAUGUAAAAGAAUCUCUGAGAUGAAUGCUUGUAAUAGCAUAGUUUGCACUUUAUGUUUUUGAUACAUAUGCAAUCUACAUACUUGCUACAGUUCCUGUUUGGAACCUCUUGUAUUGCAUUGUUUAGAUUGUUGACGCCUAGAACGUACAGGGGAGGCUCUGUCCGUUCGGCGGUCUGUCGACGAGCCCGAAUCUGACCAAAUAGGCGGAGCUCGGGGCGUGACAGCUAGUGUUAUAGAAUAGUUAAUAAUGUAAAGAAUGAUUAGCGAUAAUGAAUGACUAAGAGUAAAGAAUGGUUAAGAGUAAAGAGUAUGAUCAUUUAAUCUACUUGCAUUGUUGCAUAAAUUGCAUAUAGAAUGGCAUAAUCGUAUUUGUGAGGCAAAGCAUGAUAUUUGUUAGUUGCAUAAAUUAUGAUUUCAUAUCUAUCUAUUGAACUAACAUGUUGUUUGCCUCCCUUGGACCUGUUGGUCAAGCUUUUUCCUUAGGUGGCCGUACCCACCGGAAACUAUGGAGUUAGUUCUCACCCCACGUUGCUUUGGGGUGUUACAGGUUCGCACGUGAGCGGCGCGGCGGCGCGAGGCAAGGGCGUAGCUCCGUAGAUAACGCCUUACCCUGAAACCAGAGAUAGCAGUGCCCCGAGUCGGCAUAGCCUAGGGGUAUAGAAAUGAAAAGAACACAAAUGUAAUAAACUUGUAGUACAUUGUAAUAACUUAAUUGCAUUUGGGAGUUGAAUGUAAUGUAAAAUAAAAACUGAGAUAUGAAUGCUUGUAAUAGCUAGUAGUUUUAUAUUUUUGAUACUUUCUUAUGCAAUCUUUGAUUGAAAUGUGUUCCUGGUUGGAACAUCGUACAUUGUAUUGAUUGCGACGCCUUGGACGUACAGGGCAGACUCUGUCCGCGGUACAGAAAAAAUCCUGUCCGUUCGGCGGUCUAUUGGCGUGCCCAAUUCCGGCCAAAGAGGCGGGCUCGGGGCGUGACAGAUAAGAUUAUAUCAGAGCAUAAAAGAGUAUAAAAGGAGUAUGAAAGAAUAUAAGAGAAUAAUAGAAAUGAUUUAGCUUGACCUAGGAGACCUUAGGAUAGUAAACUAUAGGAGAUUAAGGCUCGUGAGAGACGAGAACUUGUGAUUUGUGGCGAUAGGUUGAGCGAUUGGGUCAAGUUAGUAAACCUCUAAAAACGAGAUUAGAGGUAGAUUCAAGGUAUGGUUUAUUCUCAAUUGAGAGUGUUCAUGUUGGCGCGCGACAACAUGAAACCGAGUGAUGAGAAUAGACGCCCUUGCGUAACUUUCGCCCGAUUUGAGUCGGUAUAAGUUGUCUCGUGUACGACCCAGAGGGUCGAGGGUUAACGAAGUUGUUGCGUUUAGGAAGCGAUGGCACCACAUAGGCGAUCUUCGUAUUGAUCGCCGCGGGAUGGGACAAAUGGUGUCCAUGAGCAAUUUGAGGCGAGCGGAGAAAUGGAACUUCGCAAGUAAUUAGCCACUCUCGUGGGAGUGGCAAGGUACGAGCCGAUUAGGUGCAACAACAGUAGGAGGCUGCCAUGCGCUUGAGGGAGCGAGCUCUGGCGGCCCUCGUGACCUUCAAGAGGUUAGUGAAUCCUCGUCGUGUUAAACCACUCUCGGUCAAGUUGACCAAAGUGCAUCGAGAGAAAUAGUUGGACAAAGUCCAAUUGACAUUCCAACAAUAUUGGAAGGGUCAAAAUUGUGUUCUAAAGGAGUUAGAAAGGUUUUAACAUUGGUUGGCAUAAAUAGAAGCUGAACAAGUGCCAAAACUGCAGUCUGGGCAUUUUGUAUUGGUACAACAUCAAUGUUGUACCGAUAUCAUAUAGCAGACCGAGAGAGAGAGCUCUUGGGUUUGCCUCUGCGAAGUGUUGUAACCGGUGACAAGCUGAAAGUGUACCAGUACCAAAUGUUAAACCCGAGCAGAUUGCCCUUGGGUUUGCCUCUGCGAGAUCGUGUAACCGGUGACAACCUACCUUGUACCGGUACGCGUUAAGAGAUGGGUUGUGCUCACCGAAGAUAUAAGCUCACUUCUAUGUCGAAGUGAAGUGAGAUUUAUCAUUGAUGCAUAUAAUGAUAGCUAGUUGUAAAAUAUAUGAAUGCAUGAGGUGAAUGCUAUGUUAACUACCAUUGGAUGCAUAAUGACAUAUUGUAGAAAUGCUAGAUGAAUGCAUGUGAUUGAUGCUAGUUGAAUGCAUAAGAUAAAUGGCAUAUAAAUGUUGACAUUGUGAGGAAAUGCUAGAGGUAACAUGCAUGUUAAUAUAUUGUGGAUUAUGUUAGAUAAUGACGCAUAUUGACAUAUGGUAGAAUAUGCUAGAUUCAGGUAGAUGUGAACUUGGGUCGAUAACUCUCGGUGGAUUAGAGAACUCGACAUUGGAAAAUAAGAACAUGAAAGCUAUAAUACUUGAUGUGGACAAGUAGGAUGUCAAGUAGAUCGAGUGGCAUUGAACCUAGUGUCGUGAACAUAGGUUGGAUAUGAGUGGCAUUGAACCUAGUGUUAGUAAAUAUAGGUUGAACAAGUGAACCUAGAAGUUGAGAUCUAGGUAGAGAUGACAUAAAACCUAGUGUGGUUGAACCUAGGUUGUGGACUAUAGUGGUAACACGACACUAUAGGGUUUGCAGAUGACCCUUGAGAUGUGGAACUGGAUUCCGGAAUCCCAGAACUUAUGGAACACCGAGAGGAGGUGUUGGGCAUGUGUGAUGAUUUCGCCGCCCGGGCUAAACCAUUGUUGGGCGUGUGCGACGAUUUCGCCACCAGAUAGUUAAGCCGGUUAUUGGAUUAUGCCGCCAGGUGACUUGAACCAGUGUUGGGCGUGUGCGACGAUUUCGCCGCCAGGUAGCUAAGUCAUGGAGUGCGGUAGGCUGUUAUAGCAGCCAGUGCACGUGUAAGGAAGUGAAUUCUCGAAAUACGAGAGUUGAACUUCGAUUAGAAUCGACUAAUUGUCGAUUGGGUGCCCUUAGGAAAAGCUGAGGACAUAAAAAAUGCAUAAAGUGUAUUGCGAGGGGUCUUCGAGAUCGAGCUGGGGCAAUUUUGCUAAGACUGCAGCUUUUGUGCUCUCGGGGACCGGUCCCUCAGGCAAGGACCGGUCCUCAGGGGUCCGAUCUCUCAGACAAGGACCGGUUCCCGUGAGCAUAGGAUUUGGGUUUGGAGUGUCCUACGAGAGAUUUGCUCUCGAGGACCGGUCCCUCUGGGAGAGACCAGUCCCUGUGUGCGUGUGGAGGCAGCAGCAGCCUGCUUCCUGUGGAGUAUUACUCUCAGGGACCGGUCCCUCGCUGAAGAGACCGGUCCCCGUAGCCCGAGUCUGCCCAGAAUGGGCCGUGCAUGAGUGGGGAAGUUGAGAGGCCUAUUUGCAAUGUUGCAUUAGAGGGGUUAUAUGAGAGGGGUUAUUCUCAUUUCUCUCCCUCUCUCCCUCACAACUAAACCCUAAACUCUCUCUCACUCUCUCUAGAAUAGCUCUCUCUCUCUCUCAUCAAAGAGGGAGCAAGGAGGAGGGAAGGAAGAAGAAGAAGACAAGGAGAAAGAGAGCCAUCUUUAUCUUCUUCUUCUUGUGCUUGGAGCAAGCUUGGAUAGGUAAGCUUCUUGAAGCAACAAUGGUGAUUUCUUAGAGUUUAGUUUGUGUACUCUAAGAAUGGUUUAGAUGGAACCCUAGCAUGCUAUCUAGAUGAUUGAUACCUAAUUCAUAAAAGGAUUUGAUGGAUUUGGCGUUAGUAGCAUCUAGGGCAUCCAAAAGGGGGUUUUUGUAAAUAGUUAAGUUUGAUCUCAAUUGACCCUUUGUUAACCUAAUUGCUAGGUGUACGAACGCGUUGGCGAGGUCAGUUCAGCGAUUCGUCGAGCCUACGCGAAGAUAUUGAAGAAAUGGAGGAUUUAGCUUCGUUUCCACCUGGAGGACCGAGGCGGCGUCCAUAAAUUGUGAAAACGGAUUCCGGGCGUCGUGGCAACUAACUGAAGACCUAUAAUUCCCGGAACUGCAAGGCGACGCACGGUUGUUGAGCGUUGGCAAGAUCAGGCCAAACCGGGUGCCGAGUGCCGCGGGAGGCCGAUUGCAAGUGUCGACAAGCAAUCGGAGAGCAAACUAAGGUGGGUUGUGCUUACCGAAACGAAUAGGUCGCC